UACCUUAACCAUAUUGCAAUGUUUGCAAAACCUAUUCAUUUGAUUUGAGCAAAAAAUAACUGCGUUUACGACCCGCUGCAUCAUAUCAGCAAACACUUGAAAUGAAGGAUCAUGCUGUGUAUUUCCUUCCUAUAAGGUUUUGCCAAAACCAGGGCUCUGCGGCUGCUGUUCUUGGCCACUCCACAAUGCUUUUCCCACACAAUCUCCUCCUUAGGCGCAGGAAGUGAG